rnacentral:rRNA from 1 species
AUUGCCUCAGUAACGGCGAGUGAAGCGGCAACAGCUCAAAUUUGAAAUCUGGCAGCCUCCGGGCGGCCCGAGUUGUAAUUUGAAGAGGAUGCUUUUGGCGAGGCGCCUUCCGAGUGCCCUGGAACGGGACGCCACAGAGGGUGAGAGCCCCGUAUGGUUGGACGCCGAGCCUCUGUAAAGCUCCUUCGACGAGUCGAGUAGUUUGGGAAUGCUGCUCAAAAUGGGAGGUAAACCCCUUCUAAAGCUAAAUACUGGCCAGAGACCGAUAGCGCACAAGUAGAGUGAUCGAAAGAUGAAAAGCACUUUGAAAAGAGAGUUAAAUAGCACGUGAAAUUGUUGAAAGGGAAGCGCUUGCGACCAGACUUGUGCCCGUCGAAUCAGCCGCCGCUCGUCGGCGGCGCACUUCGGCGGGCUCAGGCCAGCAUCAGUUCGCUGCAGGGGGAGAAAGGCGGCGGGAAUGUGGCUCUUCGGAGUGUUAUAGCCCGCCGCGCAAUACCCCUCGGCGGACUGAGGACCGCGCAUCUGCAAGGAUGCU